AACGAACGCUGGCGGCAUGCCUAACACAUGCAAGUCGAACGAGACCUUCGGGUCUAGUGGCGCACGGGUGCGUAACGCGUGGGAACCUGCCCUUAGGUUCGGAAUAACUCCCCGAAAGGGGUGCUAAUACCGGAUAAUGUCUUCGGACCAAAGAUUUAUCGCCUUUGGAUGGGCCCGCGUUGGAUUAGCUAGUUGGUAGUGUAAAAGCCUACCAAGGCGACGAUCCAUAGCUGGUCUGAGAGGAUGCUCAGCCACACUGGGACUGAGACACGGCCUAGACUCCUACGGGAGGCAGCAGUGGGGAAUAUUGGACAAUGGGCGAAAGCCUGAUCCAGCAAUGCCGCGUGAGUGAUGAAGGCCUUAGGGUUGUAAAGCUCUUUUACCCGGGAUGAUAAUGACAGUACCGGGAGAAUAAGCUCCGGCUAACUCCGUG
rnacentral:rRNA from 1 species